UCUUUAUAGCCAGCUUGGGCAAUCAGCUAAGCUUUACACUUUUACACAUUACAAGGUUUGUGGUCACUCCACAUUCACUCUUGAGUGUGUCAACAUGUCUUGUUCAUUUUCUGGACAUACCUUUGGAUCAUAUCUUUGGAUCAUAUUCUAAGGCAAACAUUUAAUACAGAUACAGCAGCGUCCCCAGGUGUGAAAUAAACCUAGGCCCACACACCUGGGUUGUUGUUUUCACCUAUAAACAUCUCCAAUAAAACAUCGGCCAUUGAAGAACAACAAAAGUAGCGUCUGUUGUCUGUGCGUGACUGACGCAGUCCUGC
rnacentral:lncRNA from 1 species